rnacentral:snoRNA from 30 species
CUGCUUGCAGGAACGUGGCAGGCCACCGAGGUCACACUCGUGCUUCGCGUGGUUCAACAACAUGGUCCCAGA